rnacentral:lncRNA from 1 species
UUUUGCUGUGUAUGGACGAACAUGGUGCGGUGUGUUGAGGGAAAAUUCGGACUUGCUUGGCUACAUACAUUUGUCAUGCGUUGUGAUUGGCCUCAUGGACUACUAAAGCAUCACCUCAGUGCUUUGGCCAACGUCAGGGCCACUGUGAAGGCCACGGCGAGGGCCACCAGGCGUCACCAGCACGCCAGCCACAGGUUGGUGCGGCGCCAUGGACGUGUGCACGGGUGCAUGCGUGUCAUAUAGUGUAACAACCGGAGAGGCUCGCUGUGAUGUGUGAGAAGAGCUCAAAUGCUGGUAACCUUCCCCAGUAAUCCAAGUGUUUUAACUGUCAGCUGGUGAACGAUCCUGGAACCGCUUCUUGUAACUGCUUCUCCCCCACUCUCCACGGUCUCCACAGUUACAGCAGUAUUCCAGCAAGGAAAGGAUUAGUGAUUUGUAUUGCGUCAGCAUUGGAAAGAUGUCCUGCCUUCUAAAUGUACGUGACAUCCAACUUACCUGGCUUCAUGGUGCUUUUGUCACGUUAUUUGUAUGUUUCUAAAACUACAACCUCAUGUAACACCGAUGUCUUUUGUGCUUCUUGGUGAUAAUGUUAGUUCCAUCUUGAGCUGUGGACACAUCU